AACCAGUCUACGAGGCAACAAAAAUUCCGCCAAGAAUAAACAAAGAGAUUGCGAGAUGUUGUUUACGUGUGUCACUCGACACUGACUGCAAGAAGCAAAGAGUGAAGAGCUAAUGCAUGGUGCUAAGUAUGGAAUGGUCUCUUGUGGUUUGGUUGUGCCAGAGACAAAUGUGCAUUAUUUCCAUGUUGGGUCAGAAGUCUCGGUACACUUUAGGUGAGUGGCAGUUGGGUAGAUGGAUGACCUUCAGAUAGUUUGAGAUGAAGAAGUUCUUUUAAAUGAUUGAAAGUGAUCAUCAUAGAAUCAACUCCAUUAUGAAGAUAAAUUAUGAGAGUCAGCACUCCUUUUGUCCAACACCUGAGAGAUCUGAGUACCCAGCCUACUGUUGAAUUAAUUGGUGACCAAAAAAGAUGAGAGAGGGGAAUCAAAUAUGGAUGCCAUCAUGAUCAAGAAUAUAUACAUUGACUAGAAAAUAUCUGAAAAUAUAUAGAUGAACAUUCAAGCAUUUAUAAUAAUGAAAGUUAUUCAGCAAGAGAGUUUUUGCACAAGUUUAAUUUUCAGUAAAAUUGUGUAUAUUGUGCACUGAGGAACUUAGUAUGUAACUCAUUAUGAUUAUCCAUUUCUUUAGAGGAUGUAUUCGGAGUAUAUUUAAAUAAUCAUUAUCUUCUAGAAAAGAGCACACAAAACUUUUCUCUCUGUGCGAAGCAUGACACAUAUGCAUACACUCCAGCAUUUACCACAACCACAGUUACAUAUUUUCCAGGGUGUUUGAAGUCGAGCACAUACAUGAAAAUGUGUUAAGCUGGACACAUGUGCAAACACACAAGCAUCUACCACAACACCAGUUACAUAUUUUCCAAGGCGUGUGAAGUCAAGCACAUACAUGAAAAUGUGUGAAGCUGGACACAUAUGCAAACACACAAGCAUCUAUCAAACCAAUUACAUAUUUUCCAAGGCGUGUGAAGUCGAGCACAUACAUGAAAAUGUGUGAAGCUGGACACAUAUGCAAACACACAAGCAUCUACCACAACACCAGUUACAUAUUUUCCAAGGCGUGUGAAGUCGAGCACACACAUGAAAAUGUGUGAAGCUGGACACAUAUGCAAACAUACAACAUCUUCCACAACACCAGUUACAUAUUUUCCAAGGCGUGUGAAGAUGGACACUUAUGCAAACAUAAUCUCCUACCACAGACGCAAUACACGUAACAUUUAGUCCAAAGUAUAAAGUCAAGCUCAAACAGGCUCACUGCGUGAAGCUGGACACAUGCAUUUACUUAUGCAUCUUGCAAAACUACAUCUGAACCUACAUUCUAAUAGGUGUUUAAGCAAUUUUGUUUAUUUUGUGAAUCUGUAAAUUGCACCAUUAUGCUUACAAGAUGUCAACAUUAUUAACCUGUACAUAAAUAAUCAUUAGAUAGCUUUUAAUAGUUUAAGUUGGAAAUACUAGUACUUUGCCUGAUUUAUGUUGUGUAGUUUCUCGUCAGUGAUCUUGAGUAAUA